ensembl:lncRNA
GCGCUGAGCUCACUCACCAGCUGCUCCCAAUCAGGCAAAGGAGUUGGCUGAAGGACCUUUCUGUACCAGGACUGGAGUUUGAGAAAAGCCUUAAGCACAUCAGAUACCAUAAGAAGAAGAAGAAGAAGAAGGAAAAAAAAAAAAAAAAACGAGCACAUGGAUUAACAACCAUGAACUUCACUUCAUAUAUCAUGGUGAGCUGAGAUUGGCUCCAUGUCCUUUUCCCUCUGUGACCAAGGCAGAAGUGGCAGCCCUAACUGGGACAGGUUGAUCUCAUGCAAAAAGAAAAGAGAGAUGGUAGAAGCAGGCAUUUGGAUUCCAUUUCUGCCUGGAAAUGGCACAUGUCAUUGUUAUUUACAAGUCCAAGGGCCAAGACAGCCAUGGGGCUCAACCCUCAGUGGGUGUGACAGCAUAACUCUCACGCAGGAUGGAGCAUGGGUAGGAA